rnacentral:piRNA from 1 species
UAGGAAAGGCUCAAGAUCACUCA